rnacentral:rRNA from 1 species
UACGUAGGUGACCAGCGUUGUCCGGAUUUACUGGGCGUAAAGAGCGCGUAGGCGGUCGUUCAAGUCGAGUGUGAAAGCCCCCGGCUCAACUGGGGAGGGUCACUUGAUACUGAUCGACUCGAAGGCAGGAGAGGGAAGCGGAAUUCCCGGUGUAGUGGUGAAAUGCGUAGAUAUCUGGAGGAACACCGGUGGCGAAGGCGGCAUUCUGGACCGAUAUUGACGCUGAGGAGCGAAAGCGAGGGGAGCAAACGGG